GUAGGGAAUAUUGGGCAAUGGAGGCAACUCUGACCCAGCCAUGCCGCGUGCAGGAUGAAGGCCCUCUGGGUUGUAAACUGCUUUUAUCUGGGAAGAAACCUUUGGAUUCAUCUGAAGCUGACGGUACCAGAGGAAUAAGCACCGGCUAACUCCGUGCCAGCAGCCGCGGUAAUACGGAGGGUGCAAGCGUUAUCCGGAUUUACUGGGUUUAAAGGGUGCGCAGGCGGACUGUUAAGUCAGUGGUGAAAGCCCCGGGCUCAACCUGGGAAUUGCCAUUGAUACUGGCGGUCUUGAGUACAGUAGAGGUAGGCGGAAUGCAACAUGUAGCGGUGAAAUGCUUAGAUAUGUUGCAGAACACCGAUUGCGAAGGCAGCUUGCUAUGCUGUUACUGACGCUCAGGCACGAAAGCGUGGGGAUCAAACAGGAUUAGAAACCCCUGUAGUCC
rnacentral:rRNA from 1 species